GACGAACCGUGCGAACGUUGUUCGGAAUCACUGGGCUUAAAGGGCGCGUAGGCGGGCUAUCAAGUCUGGGGUGAAAUCCCACGGCUCAACCGUGGAACUGCCUUAGAUACUGACGGCCUCGAGGGAGAUAGGGGCAUGCGGAACUGUAGGUGGAGCGGUGAAAUGCGUUGAUAUCUACAGGAACUCCGGUGGCGAAAGCGGCGUGCUGGAUCUCUUCUGACGCUGAGGCUCGAAAGCUAGGGGAGCAAACGGG
rnacentral:rRNA from 1 species